AGCUUCUGUUCUGCUUUGGGUUUUCUGGCUUACUGCUCUGUUCCUUUUGGUGUCUCUGCUUGCUGGCUGGAAUAGGAAGAGCAAGUAGCCGCUGUUCUGUACGGGGAAGACAUAGAAAAGUAUACAGACAAGCUCACCCCGUUUUCCACUUACUUGAUAUCUACUGCAAAAGUGAGGGUUUCUACCCUACGGAGUGCCUAUCAGCCGUUUUGAAUAGGUUAUUGACAAAUUCACUGUUGUCGAAGAGGUGAAAGAUGACAACAUACAAGACCCACUGCUCCCGCCGCCGACGAGGUUGAAUACUGUACCCUUUGCAUAUUUGCACGAGCAGCAACGAAAUAUGGAAUUUGAUAUAGUUGCCGUUGUGGUGAAUUGUGGCUCCAUAAAGUAUGUUGGCGCUAACAGUAGCAAAUGUCG